GACGGAGGAGGCGAGCGUUGUCCGGAUUGACUGGGCGUAAAGCGCAUGUAGGUGGAGCUUUAAGUCGGCGGUGAAAGCCUUCCGCUUAACGGAAGAAUUGCCGUCGAAACUGAGGUUCUUGAGGGCAGGAGAGGAGAGCGGAAUUGCUGGUGUAGCGGUGAAAUGCGUAGAGAUCAGCAAGAACACCCGUGGCGAAGGCGGCUCUCUGGACUGCUCCUGACACUGAGAUGCGAAAGCCAGGGGAGCGAACGGG
rnacentral:rRNA from 1 species